rnacentral:rRNA from 1 species
UACGGAGGGUGCAAGCGUUAUCCGGAUUCACUGGGUUUAAAGGGUGCGUAGGUGGGCAGGUAAGUCAGUGGUGAAAUCUCCGGGCUUAACCCGGAAACUGCCGUUGAUACUAUCUGUCUUGAAUAUAGAGGAGGUGAGCGGAAUAUGUCAUGUAGCGGUGAAAUGCUUAGAUACCCGGAGGAACACCAGUGGCGAAGGCGGCUUCCUGGUCUGCGGCUGACGCUGUGGCGCGAAAGCUAGGGGAGCAAACGGG